rnacentral:rRNA from 1 species
GACGAACGCUGGCGGCGUGCUUAACACAUGCAAGUCGAACGGAAAGGCCCUGCUUUUGUGGGGUGCUCGAGUGGCGAACGGGUGAGUAACACGUGAGUAACCUGCCCUUGACUUUGGGAUAACUUCAGGAAACUGGGGCUAAUACCGGAUAGGAGCUCCUGCUGCAUGGUGGGGGUUGGCACGUUUCGGCGGUUGGGGAUGGACGCGCGGCUUAUCAGCUUGUUGGUGGGGUAGUGGCUUACCAAGGCUUUGACGGGUAGCCGGCCUGAGAGGGUGACCGGCCACAUUGGGACUGAGAUACGGCCCAGACUCCUACGGGAGGCAGCAGUGGGGAAUAUUGCACAAUGGGCGGAAGCGUGAUGCAGCAACGCCGGGUGCGGGAUGACGGCCUUCGGGUUGUAAACCGCUUUCGCCUGUGACGAAGCGUGAGUGACGGUAAUGGGUAAAGAAGCACCGGCUAACUACGUG